CGCUUAACGUUAAUUAGUUGUAAUUACAAACUAGAGCGAUGUCGAGUAGCAGUGCAAUGAAUAUAUGGCGUUUCUCUCAUCAAAAACCAUCAAAGUUGGCAGGAGAGUGCAGCAGCGAUUUAACUUUAGACGAAAGGCCUAAAGCGAAAUAUUCAAGAGCUCCUGGUAUUCUGUAAUACCGAAUCCACUUGUCCCAAUAAUCGGACAGCGUGAUGUCGAGCCCCGUGACGUGUGUUUAGACUGCUCCAGUCUUCACGAGAGCAGCGGUUUGGAGACCCGGGCCAGCUGCAUCUGUGCCAGUAUCUUCAGUGUCUGUGAGCAGUUACUCAAGGGGUAUCAAAUCAGAUCAGGUUAUGAACAGUCUUAAAGAAUAAAUCUGAUGCCUCGUAA